CUUAGGGGGUAAUGCCUGCCCAGUGACACUGUUAAACGGCCGCGGUAUCCUAACCGUGCAAAGGUAGCGUAAUAACUUGUCUUUUAAAUAAAGACUAGAAUGAAUGGCCAAACGAGGCUUCACCUGUCUCUUACAAAUAAUCAGUGAAAUUGAUCUUCCCGUGCAAAAGCAGGAAUAAUAUUAUAAGACGAGAAGACCCUGUGGAACUUCAAAGAUAAAAUCAUCUAUCAACAAGAUCCCCCUAAUAGGCAUACUAUCAAAUAGCAUUUGAUUUUUAUUUUCGGUUGGGGCGACCUCAGAACAAAACAAAACCUCUGAAAAAGAAUCAUUCAUUUAAACCUAGAAUCACAAUUCAAAGUGCUACCAGCAAAGCGAUCCAAUAUUAUUUGAUCAACGAACCAAGCUACCCCAGGGAUAACAGCGCAAUCUCAUCCUAGAGUCCCUAUCAACGAUGAGGUUUACGACCUCGAUGUUGGAUCAGGACAUCCUGAUGGUGCAACCGCUAUCAAGGGUUCGUUUGUUCAACGAUUAAUAGUCCCACGUGAUCUGAGUCAAAACCCGGAGAAG
rnacentral:rRNA from 1 species